rnacentral:rRNA from 2 species
GUCUACGGCCAUACCACCCUGAACGCGCCCGAUCUCGUCUGAUCUCGGAAGCUAAGCAGGGUCGGGCCUGGUUAGUACUUGGAUGGUAGAGUGGGCUUGUUUGUUGUCAUUC